rnacentral:misc_RNA from 1 species
AGAGAGAAAGAGAGAGAGAGAGAGUUUUUACACACAGACACUGUAAACAGACAUUUGAGAGAGAUUCAGGAAGGGGGAAGGGGAUUGAGAUAACCGGUGGAGGAAGCGGAGGUGUUCCUGAAUAUUGAAUAACUCGUGGAACUACAACGUGACACGUCAGAUUUCAAUAUUAUUUUCUCCUUUUCUUUCUUUUGGUCGCUAGCCAGUAGCUAGCCACCACUUGUGCCUUGUUU